rnacentral:rRNA from 1 species
UAUGUGAUCGUCUCUCGCAUAUCAAUAAGCGGAGGAAAAGAAACUAACAAGGAUUCCCCUAGUAACGGCGAGUGAAGCGGGAAGAGCUCAAAUUUGAAAUCUUAAAGGGUUUCCCUUUACGAAUUGUAGUUUAAAGAAGUGUUUUCUGUUGAGGUUUUGGUAAAAGUUCUUUGGAAUAGGACAUCAUAGAGGGUGAGAAUCCCGUAUUUGACCUUUACUUUCAACUUUGUGAUACACUUUCAAAGAGUCGGAUUGUUUGGGAAUGCAGUCCAAAAUGGGUGGUAAAUUUCAUCUAAAGCUAAAUAUUGGCGAGAGACCGAUAGCGAACAAGUACCGUGAGGGAAAGAUGAAAAGAACUUUGAAAAGAGAGUUAAACAGUACGUGAAAUUGUCAAAAGGGAAGCGUUUGACACCAGUGUUGUUUCUCUGAAAAUCAAUUAAAGAACUGUUUAUGCUAAGCUUGUUUAGACUUUAUCAGCUAUCUGCUUAGUUUUGAGCUUUUCUUUAAUGCACUUUUCAGUUAACAAGUCAACAUCAAUUUCUUUUGCUGUAAAAAAGCUUGAGGAAGGUGGCUUGAGAUUCGUCUUAAGUGUUUAUAGCCUCUUGCCUAUGCAGUCGGAGAGAUUGAGGUCUGCAGCGUAGAUCCUUCGGGGCUAAAUGCAUUUGUGCUAAGUUAUAGCAGUUUUAUAGACAACUUGUUGACUAUGAUUUGUCUUGUAGCUUACUCGCUUAUGUUAUUUUACCUACGCUUAGGAUGUUGAAGACUCUACAGAGAUA